UCAGAAUCUGCAAGUUGAUAAUAUUAUAUCAGAGCAGAGGCAGUAGCAUGGACCUAUUUGUGGUCAAUGAUUGACACAAAAUUUAAAGUCAGGAGAGCGGAUUGAAAAAGCAGAAAUGUUAUUUCUAACAAAAGUUUGUGGGCGUUACCUGAUGAACAAUUGUGCUCAAAAAGAUAGGCCAUAUGUUACUGAGAAGCAGGACUUAUCAAAGUCAAUUACUGACUGUUUUCCUAUCUUACAUGAUGGAACAGCAAGUGGCUACGGAUACUUCUUUGAUAGAAAAUCAUUUAGUGGAAAGUUGGAAUACUUUGUUCGAAGCCGGCAUUCAGAUUGUAAAGAUAUAAUGACAUUGGUAACAUUCGCCAUCAAAUAGACAAGAAAAGUGAACUUGCGGUUGAAUGUUUGGCUUCUCCCUACCCCACCACAAAAAUCAGUUAAAAGGUCUUGUUUGCUACCAAAAGUGUGGUUAUGCAAAAUCUUUUCUUUGACUUCAAGGAUGACACCACGGCUGUUUCACGCAAUGUAAAAUUGGGCCUUACGUCACGAGUUUAGCAAAAACAAUUUCCGCAUAA
rnacentral:lncRNA from 1 species